GGUGCUUUCUGUUUGAUAUGUAUGCAAUCCUCGAUAAGUAUAUUUUGCCGUUUUAUCUGAAGACACUAACUGCGUCUGUGAUAAAAACCCAAGACUCUUCACUCAAUGAAGCCCAGGCAAGCCAAAAGAUUGGACAUCCAUGCUAUUUAGGAUGGCAAGAUGCUGAAGGCAGCCAUGAAGAAGUGCUCCAAACAUCUAAAUUGGAAAGGAAUAAAAUAAAGUUUGUCUGGAUAAUUUGAUAUGCAUAUAAAGAUGCCGCAAAUUAGAAAAAAACUCAGAGGUGAAAAAAGAAGAUAAGCAAGAUUCAACUGUAAUUUUAAUUUGUAAUAACUUGAGAGGCCAGACAAAAAGAAUCCUGAAGAAAAAUAUAUGUGAAAUACAGAACAGUAUGGAACAGAUGAGUAGAAGUGGAGAGUCUAGCUUUACUGGGCCAGUCAGCAGUGUCAAAUCUUGUGGCGAAAGAAUCAGUGAAGCAAAUUGGAAAACUUCUCAAGAUAAAGUGGCCUGAGUAAUCAUGCAUCCUUGGUUAACUGCUUAAGAUCACAGUUUGGUAACAAAUGGCCUGCCAGAGAUUGGAGAAUCUGGUGGUGUUACUAUAAUAAGAAAUUUAGUGUGCACUGUCUUGGUGCAUGUAGUGAAUUCACCAUAGCCAGGUUUUGGAAAUGGCAGAGUCUGAGCAAUGAAGCCUUUUUAAGUGCUGAAGUCACCAUGAAUCCAGUCAAGUUAUUACUGUUACAGAAGAAGCAAAUUGUUAUGGACUUGUUUAGUAAAAUUCUGACAUUGAUAUCAAGAUUAUACAACAUGCCCAGCGGUCAAACAUAUCAAGUAGAAGGAAUCCAAUGGUGAAAAUGUGUUGCAGCUAAUUUUGGCUGCCAGAGACAAAACAGUUAUGUGAUGCAGGACAUCAUUCAAGUUUAUUAUUUAUCUUAUCCUUGGAAAACUAUGAAAUGAAUAAAUAUUCAGAUAAUAGAGCUUAAAAAGAAA